CGGGAGUCGAACCCGGGUCUAUUGCUUGGAAGGCAAUUAUCCUAACCGUUGGACUACAAACGCAAUUUGUUAAGAAAGGUUUUAAUUAUAUAUAAACUAAGUAUUUUUAAUAUAUUUAAUAUACGAUAAAUAAAAUAUUUUGUAGGGCAUUUCAAUAAUUGUUCAGAAGUUAACGAAGAUAUGUUAUUUAAUUAAACUGAAAGUAUCGAAUAAUAAAAUAUUUUUUUGGGUUUUGUCAAAAGAUUUAUAUAAUGAGUUCUUGAAUUGCUGAUUGCAAAGGCAAGCAUUUUCGAAAUCGGUCGACCCUUGAAAUGAGAAGAGAUGGGGCAAUUGCAGCACCCAAAAGCCGUCGGACAUUAAAUUUUGUGGCUGGUUUGCACGUUGAAAAGCAAUCUGAGGAGGCCAACCAUUUCUUGAGGCGAAGAUUCAUGCUUCAUUUCUUCGGAGAAUCUGCGCUGAAUAUGGGAAGAACUUCUAUUUGGGAACUCUGCUGAUGACGAAGGAGCGGCAGAGAGCAAUAUAUGGAAUUAUGAAGAUAACCCAUCUCAGAGAAGCCAUGAAAACGAGAACAGAUGAACUUGUGAAAGUCCCCAAGUGCUUGAUGGGUGCAAAGAAUGUUUGCAAGACAUCUUUGAAGGGUGUCCCUAGGACGUGCUGGAAGCUGCUUUUAAGUCACACAACGUCCAAAUUUCGAUUCAAAAUGAGAAAAGAAUCGGACAGCAGUAGGAGCCCUAAAGAGGAAAGGGGCAGGAGAACUCAGUCCUUUAAAGCGGUUUGGAAUAACUUUCUAAACACUUGCGAACACAUUUUUUCACAUAAUUACACAUUUUUAAGUACUCAACAAAGUCAUCCUUAUCUUUUGAUUGAGGAUAUGAUAGUUUUGAAGAACUGUAUUGGUACUGUUACCAUGUAGCUGGAACUGCGAGGCUAAUGAGUGUGCCAGUUAUGGUAAUUGCAUCUGAUUCUUUGCUUCCUAC